GAAUACAUAGGAAUCUACCCUGUCGUGGGGGAUAACGUAUCGGAAACUUACGCUAAUACCGCAUACGACCGAGAGGUGAAAGCGGCGGACCGCAAGGCGUCGCGCGGCUGGAUGAGCCUAUGUCCGAUUAGCUAGUUGGCGGGGUAAUGGCCGACCAAGGCGACUAUCGGUAGCUGGUCUGAGAGGAUGAUCAUCCACACUGGAACUGAGACACGGUCCAGACUCCUACGGGAGGCAGCAGUGGGGAAUAUUGGACAAUGGGCGCAAGCCUGAUCCAGCAAUGCCGCGUGGGUGAAGAAGGCCUUCUGGUUGUAAAGCCCUUUUGUACGGGAAGAAAUCCUGUCGGUUAAUACCCGGCGGGGAUGACGGUACCGUAAGAAUAAGCACCGGCUAACUUCGUGCCAGCAGCCGCGGUAAUACGAAGGGGGCAAGCGUUAAUCGGAAUUACUGGGCGUAAAGCGUGCGUACGCGGUUGGCUAAGUCAGAUGUGAAAGCCCUGGGCUCAACCUGGGAAUGGCAUUUGAAACUGAGUCAGCUAGAGUGUGAUAAAGGAUGGCGGAAUUCCGGUGUAACGGUGAAAUGCGUAGAGAUCGGCAGGAAAUCCGUGGCGAAAGCAGCCAUCUGGAUCUACACUGACGCUGAGGCACGAAACGUGG
rnacentral:rRNA from 1 species